rnacentral:rRNA from 1 species
GUAGGUGGCAAGCGUUGUCCGGAAUUAUUGGGGCGUAAAGCGCGCGCAGGUGGGUUCUUUAAGUCUGAUGUGAAAGCCCCCGGGCUCAACCGGGGAGGGUCAUUGGAAACUGGGGAACUUGAGUGCAGGAGAGGAAAGUGGAAUUCCACGUGUAGCGGUGAAAUGCGUAGAUAUGUGGAGGAACACCAGUGGCGAAGGCGACUUUCUGGCCUGUAACUGACACUGAGGCGCGAAAGCGUGGGGAGCAAACAGGAUUAGAUACCCUGGUAGUCCACGCCGUAAACGAUGAGUGCUAAGUGUUGGGGGGUUUCCGCCCCUCAGUGCUGCAGCUAACGCAUUAAGCACUCCGCCUGGGGAGUACGGUCGCAAGACUG